CCCUUAGAUGUUCUGGGCCGCACGCGCGCUACAAUGGUCUUCACAAACGGAUGCAUUCUCGAAGGAGAAUGCCAAUCUUGGAAUCUAUGCCUUGGUCGGGACAGUUGCUUGCAAUUUUUCGACUCGAACCAGGAAUUCCUUGUAAUCGUGAUUCAUCACAUCACGAUGAAUACGUCCCUGCCCUUUGUACACACCGCCCGUCGCUCCUACCGAUCGAAGAGUUAGGUGAAUUGUUUUGAUCGAUAAGAUUUGACUAUGGUCAACUCUCGUUGUGAAAUUCUGUGAAUCUGACUGUUUAGAGGAAGGAAAAGUCGUAACA
rnacentral:rRNA from 1 species